rnacentral:misc_RNA from 1 species
AAGUCGUAACAAGGUUUCCGUAGGUGAACCUGCGGAAGGAUCAUUACUGAGCGCGAAGCCACGCAGGACGCUUGUCCUGCGCGGCUGACCCUCCACCCGUGUGAACUGAAUUUGUUGCUUUGGCGGGCCGGGCUCGACCUACCGGCUCCGGCUGGGGAGUGCCCGCCAGAGAAGCCCCCAACUCGUGCAGUUAGUGCAGUCUGAGAAAACUUAAUAAGUAAAA